AACGAACGCUGGCGGCAUGCCUAACACAUGCCAGUCGAACGAGACCUUCGGGUCUAGUGGCGCACGGGUGCGUAACGCGUGGGAACCUGCCCUUAGGUUCGGAAUAACUCCCCGAAAGGGGUGCUAAUACCGGAUAAUGUCUUCGGACCAAGAUUUAUCGCCUUUGGAUGGGCCCGCGUUGGAUUAGCUAGUUGGUAGGGUAAAAGCCUACCAAGGCGACGAUCCAUAGCUGGUCUGAGAGGAUGAUCAGCCACACUGGGACUGAGACACGGCCCAGACUCCUACGGGAGGGAGCAGGGGGGGAUAUUGGAAAAUGGGGGAAAGCCUGGUCCAGCAAUGCCGGGGGAGGUAUGAAGGCCUUAGGGGUGUAAAGCCCUUUUACCCGGGAUGAUAAUGACAGUACCGGGAGAAUAAGCGCCGGCUAACUCCGUG
rnacentral:rRNA from 1 species